UAGAGAAGUACAGUGUGGUACAAAGAAGGAAGGCAUCCCGAUUCUGACAGGCCUCAGGACUCAGCUACUGAGGCUAUGGAAAAACCCUGAGGCAAAAAGUUGAAAGACCUGAUGGUGGGCACUUGAAGAGAGAAGAUUUCAACCUGCCAGGAAUUUUUGACCACACUUGCAGCUGAAGGUGGCACAUAGUUUGGACAGAAAUUCUUAUGCACACUAGGUGUGAAAUCCUUGAAUAUUGGGAGAGUCUACCUAAAAAUAGUUAAGUAUGUUCAAUC